GGUUUCUCUGUGUAGCCUUGGCUGUCCUGGAACUCACUUUGUAGACCAGGCUGGCCGUGAACUCAGAAAUCCACCUGCCUCUGCCUCCCGAGUGCUGGGAUUAAAGGCGUGCGCCACCACGCCCG
rnacentral:miRNA from 1 species